AAAUUCUUAUGCAAAUAAGAAUGAAAUUAUCAAUCUUUUACUGUGAAGAAACUUGAGUGUUCAAAGCAAGCUUUUAAAAUUCCGCUUGAAAAAUUCAGCAUGGGAUAAUGAAAUAAGCUAAAAAACGUAACCAUUUUUCGCCGAUUUUCGGUUUUAGAAAGCGUUUAAGAAUGAUUGAUAGGGGCGGUCGAGGGCACUCGUACCCAGAGGUCAGAGGUGAAAUUCUUGGAUUCUCGGGAGACGAACUUAUGCGAAGGCGUUUGCCAAGGACGCUUUCUUUGAUCAAGAACGAAAGUUAGGGGAUCGAAGACGAUCAGAUACCGUCGUAGUCUUAACCUUAAACGAUGCCGACUGUAGAUUAGAAGACGUUAAUACAUUCUCGAACGUUAAAAUUACGAGAAAAAACUAGACUCCUCUAGCAUACUGUGAGAAAUCACAAGUGUUUGGGUUCCGGGGG
rnacentral:rRNA from 1 species